rnacentral:lncRNA from 1 species
CAGGCGCCACCUAGGUUUGUUCCGAGGCAGCAGCGACCCGGGCCGGGCAGCUCGCGACCCCAGCGCAGGGACAUCAGGGCGGGCGCGGCGGCUUCCCCGCCCCGGGGCGGCACCCCGAUCGGCUGCGGUUCCGCCCAGCCGAGCCCGCUGCUCGCAGCCUUAGUCGCCAUGUCUUCCGGGGCCAGCGUGAGCGCCCUGCAGCGCCUGGUAGAGCAGCUGAAGCUGGAGGCCGGCGUGGAGAGGAUCAAGGUCUCUCAGGCAGCUGCAGAGCUUCAGCAGUACUGCAUACAGAAUGCAUGCAAGGACGCCCUGCUGCUUGGUGUUCCGGCUGGAAGCAACCCCUUCCGGGAGCCCAGGUCCUGUGCUUUACUUUGAAGACUGGGAAGAAGCUCUCUGAGGAACCUGUGUGUGCAUGGUGAUGGAUGACUACCGCCAAGUCCCAAGAAAACAGAUUUCAAGAGCCAAAUCAUUUUCUCUGUGGCCUGGUCCUAGGUCAAAAUUCUACAGAAAUCAAUGUUUUGUCUUAUUUUUUAACCUCAUUACCAAACUCACUGGGUGCAUCUCUCAGUCAAGCCUGUGCGGCCCUGCCUGGGAUGGAGGCAUGUUUUGUUUACUGGGUAUUUGCAUUUCUGGAUGGAAAUGUUGUAUUUCCGAAAACUGAGUAUUUGUAAUUUUCCUAACAUUUUUAUACUGUAAUAAAAAAUUUUCAUAAAAAUUUACAGUUACUAAAUUAGACAAAGUAUAAAUUGGGGAAUGAUUGAUAUGCUGGUUUCGUAAAGGAGGCCUUUCCAGUCCCAGUGAGCAAACGGUCUGACCUGGACGGGAAGCUGGGGAGCCGCUCCUUAGCACACGGAGCAUGGAUGUGUUGUUAGGUGGCCCUCCCGUGUGAAGCCAUUAGAACUUUCUUUAGUUCCUGUACUCUACAACUUAUAAUUGUGUCUGAUGCUUUGAAAAGUGUGCUCAUGCCUUUAAAAAUGUUUAAAUGUGAUCUACACUUAGAACGUUGCAAUUGGUUAAAAACAAAAUAUGAAGAUAUUAUAACCUAAAAGAAUUCAUGUCACACAUAUUUUAUUGGGGGUGAUGUGCCUUUGAUUUAAUUGGGGACACUUUUAGAAGGAAAGUUUGUGUUUGUGAUUAUCUUUGAAGAGCUUGGAAAUAAAAUUUUUGCCUAAUUCAUCAUUUUCCAUGACAACAGUAGUUUGUGUUUGGUGUGGUCUUUUGGGCCCCAUGGAUCUCUGUUUGCUGGUGAGUGUGAGUGCAGAAGGUGAGAUUGGGGUUGGAACCCCUGUAGAACUCCAUCAGUGCCUCCAAAUACAGUUGUGAGCAUAACAUGAAAAACCCUCAAUUCCCAGCCACAGCUGCUCUCUGACGUCGCCCGGCAUUCACCACGGAGAAGUCGUAGGAAUACAAAGUGGAGAAAAUGAAGCCAUGGGCUGGGCCUCCCUAACUCCAGGCAUCACUCAGAUAUCAGUAAAUUAAUCAUAAUUUGGAUGUCCUUUUGAUGUUUCUAUUUUUCAUUUAGUCUUGUCUGCAGUUUUACGCUAUCAUUUUUGUUGUUUGUUCUUUCAAACUCUUGCCUCCUACCAUUAGCAUUGUAUGUGUGUGUCCUGCGUCUCGGUUAGGAGGAUUUCAGUGAUUGUUCCAAGUUUCCACCCCACACUAAACCCUCUUUGGAUGCACUGUCUCCUUCAGCAGCACUGCAGAAGGGAGUUCAGGGGAGCCGUGAACGUUCUACAGCUCUAACUGUUCUAGGUGGAGGCAGGUCAGGUCCAGCAGCGUCAGGAGGGUCAGGUCCAGCAGCGUCAGGAGGGACUGACACCUGCUCAGGAGCUGAUUUGAUAUAGGAAAUCUGCCAGUGAAAGAAGGGACCCGCAGCCUGACAGCUAUCUGAGGAAAUUCAAUACUUGUUCUGUAUCUCUCUCUCAAACAUGGAGGACAAAAACUACUUCAUGGGUCAGUGAGAUUGCCUUGGAAGCUGCUGAAUUAAACAAUAUAAUUUUUAAAAAUUGAAACAAAUGAUGAAAAUGCCACACUGAAACCCACCUGCAUGCAAAUUAAAAAACAAACAAACAUGCAGAACUUUGUGAAGUAUCUUAGGGGAAAUUAGAUAAUGCUUAUAAUGCUUCCUUAAUGAAGAAUUAUAUUAAUGCAUGCCUUGUCAUGGAUCAGUCUCUAUACUCAGGUGGGUUUGAUUGAUUUGAAGUGUUGCUCGUUUCCAUUUGGUCUGGAAAUACUGCAUUAGAGUGUUCAGACUGAUAAAAUGGCGUGCUGUAAACCACUGAACUGAGAAUGGGACCCCCGUUGAAGGAAUCUUAGAAAGGACUGAAAGAGCUUGAAGGGGCUCGAGACCCCAUAUGUACAACAAUGCCAACCAACCAGAGCUUCCAGGGACUAAGCCACUACCCAAAGACUAUACAUGGACUGACCCUGGACUCCAACCUCAUAGGUAGCAAUGAAUAGCCUAGUAAGAGCACCAGUGGAAGGGGAAGCCCUGGGUCCUGCUAAGACUGAACCCCCAGUGAACGUGAUUGUUGGGGGGAGGGCGGUAAUGGGAGGAGGAUGGGGAGGGG